GUUUGUGUGUGUGUGUGUGUGUGUGUGUGUGUGUGUGUGUGUGUACACCUCUGGUUGCCAGUGUUUCUCUUUUGGAAGAGUGUGUGUGCGUGUGUGUGAGAGAGAGGGAGAAGGAGAUGUGUCUGCCCACAGCCCAAAGCAAACUCAUGCCAGGGAAAGCAGGGCAGGGCCAUCUUUCUCUCCCUGUGCUGUAUUCCCUAUCUCCAAAUCAAUGUGCUUGCUUAGUUUAGCAGUCAAGCCAAUCAGUCUCGCUAGCCAUGCCAUAACAGAACUACAAGUGGGCUGCAGCAAGUUGGAUCAAUUCUAAUGCGUGAUGUUAUUUCACUUUGAGGACUCACAAUUGUUUUAAGCUGCAUUGCACAACAGUUAAAGUUACCAAAGGGGGCCAGGUUGUUCUGUAUUAUUAUUCUGAAUGGCACAGUCUGCAUUUCAGCACCCAGUACACAUUAUAUACAGAAUAAUGUACUUAUUUGUCAGGUGGAUAGAAACACAACUCCACAUGAAUGCUAAAGUUGUUCAGUAUCUGCUGGAUAGGCAUGGGAAACUGUUUACUAACACGUACGCCAUAUCAAAUUUAUGAGGUGAUGUCAGUGUUGUGUUUACAGUUUGUUUUCGUUGCCCCCGGGUGGCCAUAAAAUCUAUUAUUGCAGGUUUAAAACCAUCAUCUGGAGGUUUCUCAGGCAACCCGAUGAUGGUUUUUAAAAUAAAAAUUGAAAGCUUGAAACUGUAAAUAUACAGCUGCCUUUUUUGGGGGGGUGGGCAGGCAACUCUACUCCACUCCUGUUACUAACUUGUGUUUAAGUGUAUCAUACAGUCUUAUUGGUUUACUUUUUCCACUAGUUUCACAUCCACUACAGUGUUACAGGUGUCGUUUUCAUCAUAGCUUUAAUGCUUUAAAUUCACCUAGAAGUUGAAAGUGUUAGCAGAUAAAGCACAUAUUGUACUGUAAUUGUCCAUAAUUUCCUCCCACAAUAUGCAAGGUCACUGUAUUUAUAACUUUUCUCAGCUGUUAAGCAUUGUCUCCAGUGCACUGUGCAAUACUGUUUGAAGCAACAAGAUGAGGGAACGCUACAAUAUACUUUUAGCAAACUUUUAUGCAAAUCUGAAACAAACUACUAAAAAAAAAAAAAAAUCUAAUCUGAUGCACUUUAAAUGAUGUUAAUUGUUGGUAUUGAAUGAAUGUUAAACUGAAUUUAGAGGUAACUUAGAAUUCAUUUUUACAGUAUAAAUUUUGAUUUAUUCUUUCUUCUUUCCCAAUGUGUCUCUGUUUGCAAAGGUAAUCAUAUUUUUCUAGGAAGUCAUGUGAGACAGCAAUAAAGGUUGCCCCAAAAAUUUGACUAGUGUGUUUCAGCAAAUCCUUAUGUUCGACAUGAUCAAUUAGAGGACAUAAGUAGUUACUUUGGUCCUAUGGUUGGAGGUACUAGCAUGACAGUCAAUGCUGAUGAUCUGGAUCACGGACCCUCACCAAUGCUCACAAACACAUGCAGUAUACACAAAGCUGCUGAUCUCAGUUAAAGAUAUACAGUAAGAGAGACCUCAUGAGUUUGUUUCCCUUGUUUUCACUGGUUGCAUUUCUGUGGAAAUAAAGUAUGAUUGUGAAACAUU